UCAAACUUGGUCAUUUAGAGGAAGUAAAAGUCGUAACAAGGUUUCCGUAGGUGAACCUGCGGAAGGAUCAUUGCCUGAGGGCGCGUGGCCGAGCGUCGCUAAACACGGCGCGGAGCCCGCGCAUUACUCACCAAACCCAUGUGAACCAAAGUGACGUGACGGUGGCGUGCCGCGCUCCCGCGAGCGCGCGCAUCCUCCAUCUCUCCUUUUUUUACACGUUGACCUUGCUUCUCUGACUGAGAUUCAAGCGACCUUAACAACGUCGCGACCAAACCAAACAUAUCACAACUUUUAACAACGGAUAUCUUGGCUCGCGCAUCGAUGAAGAACGCAGC
rnacentral:misc_RNA from 1 species